rnacentral:lncRNA from 1 species
UCACCUAGGACUAGGGAUACCAUGUAUGAACCAGAGCAUUCUUGAUAUUAUACAUCUUAACUUCACCCUAAUUGGCUAUGGACAUAGGAAUUAGGGUAGAUUGAUUAAAGGUUUUCUCACCAAGGACUUGGGAGAAAAUACCCUUGAGAACUGGUAGUAAUUGAUAUUUGUUGAUGCAAUAGUAACUCAGAGUUGUUACAGGGAUAAAUCAUACACCUUCC